rnacentral:rRNA from 1 species
UACGAAGGGGGCUAGCGUUGCUCGGAAUGACUGGGCGUAAAGGGCGCGUAGGCGGUUCGGACAGUCAGAUGUGAAAUUCCUGGGCUCAACCUGGGGGCUGCAUUUGAUACGUUCGGACUAGAGUGGGGAAGAGGGUCGUGGAAUUCCCAGUGUAGAGGUGAAAUUCGUAGAUAUUGGGAAGAACACCGGUGGCGAAGGCGGCGACCUGGUCCUUGACUGACGCUGAGGCGCGAAAGCGUGGGGAGCAAACAGG